UCAACUCUGAACUCAUAAUUUCAUUCGAUUAUUUCAAUUUCCUAAAUUUUAGUUGUCACCUUUUUCCACAGGGAUCUAAAAUCAGGCGGAAAUUAUAUAUUUUUUCCUACAAAAUUGUUUGUUCCACUUAACGAAAUUUCGUCUUCAUUUAAUUACGGGAUGCAGUGUCUCCGUGCCGAACGGAUCAGAGCCUCUUGGUGUUCUUUCUAAAGCGAAUAAAGUGCAUUCCUGUAAGAUGGUUUCCGAGUGUAUUGCGGAUGUGGAGAAAGUCGGCCUGAAGGCAAACAGAUAUUUCCAGGCACCGACCCCUGAGCCACCGGUCGUCGUCGUCUGGACUUCCCACUGCGCCCACUGGGUGGGGGUCCUACAGCUGCUGCUGCCAGUCGUAUUUGCCGGGAGUCGACCAUUUGUUCCUUGUAGCCUUGGAAGGACUUUCUUUGGCUGCCAGCAUGGCCUUGCGCUGGCUCUCCUUGGUCCUGGCCAUCCACCUCUCUCUCUGAUCGGAAAAGCUUUCCUUAAGGGAAACUGCAAGAGAAGGAGGAUAUACCAUUGCCAUUCUGAGCAGAAAAAAGUACACGAAAGUCUCACCUGUCUU